rnacentral:rRNA from 6 species
AAAUUGAAGAGUUUGAUCAUGGCUCAGAUUGAACGCUGGCGGCAGGCCUAACACAUGCAAGUCGAACGGUAACAGGAAGCAGCUUGCUGCUUCGCUGACGAGUGGCGGACGGGUGAGUAAUGUCUGGGAAACUGCCUGAUGGAGGGGGAUAACUACUGGAAACGGUGGCUAAUACCGCAUAACGUCGCAAGACCAAAGAGGGGGACCUUCGGGCCUCUUGCCAUCAGAUGUGCCCAG